rnacentral:lncRNA from 1 species
GGGAGAAAGGGCUUUAUUUUAGCUUACAGGCAUCAGUGCCUCGUUAACAGAAGCCAGGGUAGGAUUUGAAUAAGAAACCGGAUGCUUGUUGGCUCAUUCACAGGGUCAUACUUAGCUGCCCUUCUUAUAGAGACCAGCACCUAGGGAAUGGUGCCACCCACAGGGGACUGGGCCUUCCAAUAUCAACUGGCAGUGCACUUCCUUACAGACAUGUCUAUGGAACAAUCUAACCUGGGCAGUUGAUCAUUUGAGACUCUUUUCUCCUUGUGGAUCCAGCUUCAGUGGAACUGACCCCUUCUAGACAUGGCUCUUCUCUGGUCUUCUUAGCCCCUGAUGGUUGCUAGGCAACCCUAUUAAGUUCCCCAGCUGAGAUCACUCAGUAACCAAGUCACUGUAUGGAACUACCUUGGUCUGGCAUCCUCAUCCCUACUUCCUCACUUGCCCCGACUCCUACGGAUCUUGUUAGCUGAAGACAGAGAGAAGCAUUGUCCUAAACCUGCAGUCGCCUUGGAUUUUUGGAAGUACAAAACCUGAAAGGUCAGGCUACCCCCAGAUGACAGUGAUCACCCAUGAAGGCCAAGCUGCAUUCUGAAGCGGAAGUGACCCUCUCACAGGAGCCAGAUUGACUCACCGUAGCAUCUUGAGGCCAUCACACUGGUGAGGUGAUGAUCAAGGAGAUGGCAUCUGGACCAGGACUUCUUCAUGAUGCCAACAUCUUGUUCCUUGCCCCAACUCAAAUCUAAAGCUAUUAUCGGCAUCUUGAUCUUCUAAAAUCUUGGGGGUCACUGGGCCCCUUUAUCUGUUCCUCUUCUCUAUUUGGACACUUGAGAAUAAAUCUCUCUCUCUGGUUUUUACUGCU